GGGAGCCUGGGGCCAAUCAGCUCUUCCAGACGAUCAAAUGUCACCAUAAGUUGAGAGCUGCAUCACCUUGGGACGCUCGCAGAUCCCAGCCUGCCCGUCCCCUCUGACAGGAGCUUGGUGCUUCUCUCCACUCCUUCUAGAAACUAAUUGCCAACAUGUCUGAUACCGAGGAAGUGGAACAAGGAGAGGGUAAGUCUUAAAUCUGUCUG